CCGGUACCGGUUCACGCUGCGCGUGCGCGGCGACCCGGCGACC
rfam:Stackebrandtia nassauensis DSM 44728, complete genome.